CAGUAGCCGCGGUAAAACGGAGGGGGCUAGCGUUGUUCGGAAUUACUGGGCGUAAAGCGCACGUAGGCGGCUUGGUAAGUUAGAGGUGAAAGCCCGGAGCUCAACUCCAGAACUGCCUUUAAGACUGCAUCGCUUGAACGUCGGAGAGGUGAGUGGAAUUCCGAGUGUAGAGGUGAAAUUCGUAGAUAUUCGGAAGAACACCAGUGGCGAAGGCGGCUCACUGGACGACUGUUGACGCUGAGGUACGAAAGCGUGGGGAGCAAACAGGAUUAGAGACCCCAGUAGUCCCUGUCUCUUAUAC
rnacentral:rRNA from 1 species